ACGGGUGAGUAACAUGUGGGUAUCUACCCUUUGGCCUGGAAUAACACGAGGAAACUUGUGCUAAUACCGGAUAAGUCUUUACGGAGAAAGCUUUAUGCACCAUUGGAUGAGCCCGCACUUGAUUAGUUUGUUGGUAGGGUAAUGGCCUACCAAGACUAUGAUCAAUAGCUGAUUUGAGAGGAUGAUCAGCCACAUUGGGACUGAGACACGGCCCAAACUCCUACGAGAGGCAGCAGUGGGGAAUCUUGCACAAUGGAGGAAACUCUGAUGCAGCGAUGCCGCGUGAGUGAAGAAGGCCUUUGGGUUGUAAAGCUCUUUCGUCGGGGAAGAAAAUGACUGUACCCGAAUAAGAAGGUCCGGCUAACUUCGUGCCAGCAGCCGCGGUAAUACGAAGGGACCUAGCGUAGUUCGGAAUUACUGGGCUUAAAGAGUUCGUAGGUGGUUGAAAAAGUUGGUGGUGAAAUCCCAGAGCUUAACUCUGGAACUGCCAUC
rnacentral:rRNA from 1 species